CCUACGGGAGGCAGCAGUGAGGAAUAUUGGUCAAUGGACGAGAGUCUGAACCAGCCAAGCAGCGUGAAGGAUGAAGGUCCUAUGGGUUGUAAACCUCUUUUAUAUGGGAAUAAAAUGUUGCACGUGUGGGAUGUUGUAUGUACCAUAUGAAUAAGGAUCGGCUAACUCCGUGCCAGCAGCCGCGGUAAUACGGAGGAUCCGAGCGUUAUCCGGAUUUAUUGGGUUUAAAGGGAGCGUAGGGGGGUUGUUAAGUCAGUUGUGAAAGCUUGCGGCUCAACCAUAGAAGUGCAGUUGAAACUGGCAGUCUUGAGUACGGUAGAGGUGGGCGGAAUUCGUGGUGUAGCGGUGAAAUGCUUAGAUAUCACGAAGAACUCCGAUUGCGAAGGCAGCUCACUGGACUGCAACUGACACUGAGGCUCGAAAGUGUGGGUAUCAAACAGGAUUAGAUACCCUUGUAGUC
rnacentral:rRNA from 1 species